rnacentral:rRNA from 1 species
UACGGAGAGUGCAAACGUGUUCGGAUUCACUGGGCGUAAAGGGCACGUAGGCGGCUCGGCAAAUCGGUCGUGGAAUCCCGACGCUUACCGUCGGAACGGCGGCCGAAAAUACCGGGCUCGAGGGCGUGAGGGGUCACUGGAACUCCUGGUGAAGCGGUGAAAUGCGUAGAUAUCAGGAGGAACGCCGGAGGCGAAAGCGGGUCUCUGGACAGUUCCUGACGCUGAGGCAACGAAGGUCAGGGGGAGCAAACGGG